rnacentral:rRNA from 1 species
UACAGAGGGUGCAAGCGUUGUUCGGAAUUACUGGGCGUAAAGCGCGUGUAGGCUGCGACGUAAGUCAGGUGUGAAAAGCCCUCAGCUUAACUGAGGAAGUGCACUUGAUACUGCGUCGCUUGAGUGUCGGAGGGGGUGGCGGAAUUCCCGGUGUAGAGGUGAAAUUCGUAGAUAUCGGGAGGAACACCUGUGGCGAAGGCGGCCACCUGGACGGACAACUGACGCUGAGACGCGAAAGCGUGGGUAGCAAACAGG